ACAGAGACAAAAAGACAACAAGAAUGCCGGCGCAAAAGUAAGCAGAAGCGAGAUCCUCUCGGAAAGGCAAAGGUGACUUUUAGCAAUAUUGAAAGAAGCUAUUAUUGGCAAUCUGCGCGAAAGAGCCAGGUUCACACCGCACACGCGUCUAAAUGCCUUUGCAGCAGUACCCACUUAAGCGUCCGUCACUAUCCCCACCGAUUUUUUCGAAUCGAGAGUAAAUGUAAAGCUCUAUGCCGAAAGCUGCGUGAAAAAUGAGUGAUAACUGAUACCGAUAUUUCGGCACAAUUC